GGGGAGGGGCGGCCUACACAUGCAAGUCGAGCGGUAGCACAGAGAGCUUGCUCUCGGGUGACGAGCGGCGGACGGUUGAGUAAUGUCUGGGAAACUGCCUGAUGGAGGGGGAUAACUACUGGAAACGGUAGCUAAUACCGCAUAACGUCGCAAGACCAAAGUGGGGGACCUUCGGGCCUCAUGCCAUCAGAUGUGCCCAGAUGGGAUUAGCUAGUAGGUGGGGUAACGGCUCACCUAGGCGACGAUCCCUAGCUGGUCUGAGAGGAUGACCAGCCACACUGGAACUGAGACACGGUCCAGACUCCUACGGGAGGCAGCAGUGGGGAAUAUUGCACAAUGGGCGCAAGCCUGAUGCAGCCAUGCCGCGUGUAUGAAGAAGGUCUUCGGGUUGUAAAGUACUUUCAGCGGGGAGGAAGGCGAUAAGGUUGUUUUUCAUGCC
rnacentral:rRNA from 1 species